UGAAAGCUGUCUUCUAUCCAUCUCCCUCUCUGAUGCGGGCUAAGUUGUAAGCCCCUCUCAGAUCUAGUUUAGUUAAAACUGAUGCCCCCUUCAACCUGUCAAACAACUCCGUUAUUAAUGGUAUUAGUAAGCGUUGUGUAUUGUGAUCUUAUUUAGAUCCUGAUAGUCUAUAAAGGGACGUAAAUCCCCUUUUUUCUUCUAAAGAAAAAAGAAACCUGCACCAGCAGGCAAGG